GUGAAAUUAAGCUCUUCAUUCAGGUCAUCUUCAACUGGUCUUUUCUGUACUGCCUACUCCAACUAUUUCACUCUCCCUGCUCCCUUCAGUUAUCCAGUCAUGGACCAAUCAUGUGAGGAGGGGGAAAACUGCAUAUCAUGAAUGUGCUUUGAUCCUGCUUUGCUCCCAGCGGACCAGUACUGGGUGGGGGAGUUCCCUUGCAUCUCUGGCUUCCGGGCACUGGAUUCUCCAAUGGGCUGCCUCUCUCCAAGGCUGGAAGUACUCACCAUGAUGCAUCCUAG
rnacentral:lncRNA from 1 species